UCUGGUGUUGGCAUGUUGGAUAUUGCAAAUAGGUCUAGUUCCUAUGGAUGUAUUUGAUUAUUUUGAGGCCAUAGAGUAUGCAUAUUGAUGGGAGAAUUCUAAUUAUUUGAAUUCUCAUGUUUGGAUUGAGCUACUGGAUUUUACUUAUAAUUGUAGAAGACUAUUUGAUGUGUUAAUUUAAAACUCAAGCUUAGGUUUAAGAUUUGAGCAGGGAUCUUUUGUCAUUGUUGAUGAAGCCACUAAUAAAUGUCAUAUUGAGUUGAGACUUCGGUUAUGAGAUGCUUACAUGAAUUAUCAUAUAUAGCAUCGUUGAUGGAUGUUAAGAAUCUUGGUGAAGGAAGAUCUGGAGAUCGAUCGAGUUAAAUUCUAGUGUAUUGGCUCAAUGACUUCUAAACUAUUGAAUUUGAAGUAAAUCUUUUGGAAAGAAGAUCAACGUAGAUUGUUUAAUUAAAUUGCUGAGGAAAUCCACGGUUAACUUAUUUUAAAUUAAAUCUAGAUAUUUUUGGAUUCUAAGAAGGUUGUGGAGAUCACAUUAGUGACCUUAAACUUGACUAAAGGAUCGGGGGUUAGUUAUGGUAUGUACACUCUAUAUAAAUUGAGGACAAAAAGAUCUAGAGGUUUUGCUCUAGUUCUACUUGGAAAUUUGAAAUUUGGAGUUUCUUAGUCUCAAUGCAAAGUGAUACUUUAGUCAGAAAUCAUUUUGUGACUUUAAAGAAUUAAAUGAAUUAAAUCAGAGUGUGCAGCGGAAGUGUGGUGGUUUGACUUAUUUUGAAACUGGUUAAGAUCAUUAAUAUUUGAUCUAAAAGGCAUUAUGAUGAAAUACUUAAGUUAGUUUCAGGAGAAUGUUGUUGAUUCUAUGGAUCUCUUAUUU
rnacentral:lncRNA from 1 species